GAGGUUGUGACUCAGAGGUAGAGCACUCGCUUAGCACGUGCGAGGCACUGGGUUUGAUCCUCAGCACCCCA
rnacentral:tRNA from 1 species